rfam:Triticum aestivum genome assembly, contig: Triticum_aestivum_CS42_TGACv1_scaffold_221001_3B
AAAGUAUUCCCUCCGUUCCAAAAUUCUUGUCUUAGAUUUGUGUAAAUAUGGAUGUAUCAAGUCACAUUUUAGUAUUAGGUACAUCUGUAUCUAGACAAAUUUAAAACAAGAAUUUUGAAAUGGAGGGAGUACAAA